AGUUUCUGGAUAUAGCCCUUAUUUCAGUUUCAAACAGGAAACUGUAGCUUAUCUAUAAAGUGUGUAUGUGCUUAUGUGUAUGUGUCUAUCUAGAUGCAUGCAGACGCCUUUCAGCACCGGGUAUGUUUGGAGGUCAGACAACAUGAUUAGAGGAGCAAGGAUAUAUACAUCAAAAUUGGUGCUUGCUACUUAACAUUUCACAAGGGGACAAUUUGAUAUCCAUAGAUGAUAGAAAAUGUCAAGCAAUGCUUGAAAUAUGCCUAUAACAUGGAGAAGAUACAGCUAUAAUAUGGCUUUAAAACUCUGAGCAAUGUGCUGAGGAGCAUUCUUUGCACUCCUUUUGGUGCUGGUGAGACCAUCGGAUGUAGCAGAGGAAACUCAAGAGUCACUUUGGAGGUUCCAAGUUGAAGUAGCGAUCAACAAACAGAGGAAAAAGUAGUAUUCCUUGCUUUCUGGAUAAAAUAUAAAUAAUCAGAAAAUCAGAGAAUUUUGCAACUAGAAGCAAUCUUAGAGAUUAUCCACUCCAUUCCCUUAAUUGUAAAGAUGUGCUUUAAAAAAAAAUGAAAACAGAAGCUUUGUUUCUCAACUAUUCACAUCAUCUAUUUGUGAAAGACAUAGCUGGGUCUUAUGAUUAAAGCAAGUUUAAAACUCCUAGUUCAAUUUAGAGUUUCUACCAUUUGUAAUCUAACCAAAUUUAGGGAACUCACUUCUAAUUUUUAUCUCCAUGACCCUUCCUCUUUAUGCAACACAAUUAGUGUGUGAUUUCCCCCCCCACCUUAUUUAUAUCUAGGAAACCCACUUUUCUAUUGUGAAGCUUCAAACAACUCCCCAGGAUUUGAUCUUACAGCUCUGGUUCCUUUUUCCCCAGAAUAUUUUUUCCCACUUAACUGAAACAUAAACUACAGUCUUAUGCUCUACUCCCUGCUUUCCCUCUCUCAAGUUUUGCCCCCAAAGACCUUACUGUAAUGAAGAGAAAACAAGAGAUUCAACACCCCCUUACUUCCCCCACCUUCACCCCCCCAUUCACCUUUUAAGGGGAACUGCCUUGCAUUACUCUUCUAACUUUCCUCACUGUGUCCACCUGCUAUAUGGCAUUUAACUUCAAUACAACCACCUAUAAGUUGAGUACAGUACUACAUGAGUAAAGUACUUCCCGAGAAGUAUAAUAAUGGCAAGAAUUAAUUAAUGUUUAUGAAAUACUUUGAGGUCCUUAAAAUAGAAAGACGCUGUAACCAACAAAGUAUUAUUAUCUCUUUGCCCUGAGUCCUAGAAACAAAUCCAACUGCAAUGAUGGACUAUUUUUUUUUUAUCACGGAAAGACCUUAGUUGUCCUCCUUUCAGCAGUUUUCCCAGCCAAGUGAGUUAUGUUUUCUGCUUUUUUUUUUAAAAGAUAUAAUGAAACAAUAACCUAUUCUCAAAUGAAAUCACAUGAGAUGCAGGACACUCCAUUUCCCUUCUCAUGCCUUUGCACUGGCUGUCCCAACCAUUCUCGGAACGUCUUUCCCUCUUCACCUCUACCUUCUAGUUUCCCUGGUUUCCUUGAAGAUUCCGCACAGAUCCAAUCCUAGCCUCUCCAGAAGUCCCUGUCUCAGUCGCCUACUAACUAGCGCCUUCCCCAUUGAGAGUACCUUCCAUUUAUUCUGAAUAUAUCUUGGUAGGUACUUAGUCAUUUUUAUGUUUGUUUCACCCAUUAGAGCAUGAGUUCCUUAAGGGUAUGGAUUAUUUUUUGCCUUCCUAUCCUCUGGGCUUAGCACCAAUGGGCUUAAUAAUAAAAUGCCUAUUGACUAAGUAUGGAAUAGAUCUGUAAAGUUAGCUAUGUAGACCUUAAAGCAAAAAUCACUAUAAUUCUGCACCUUCAGGAGUGAAAGAACGAAAUCUCUUUUGGAGUGA